UUUCUGAUUGAGUGUAAGCUGCUAUAUGAAGGGAUCCACAAGACGAAUAAUUAAGGGGGACCUCUGAUCAACAGCCAGCAAGGAACUGAAUCCCUCAGACCCACAACUCACAAGAAACUGAAGCUGAAGCAGAUUCUUCCUCAGUCAAGCUUCAGCCAAACUGACAGGGGUUUGUGAAUCAGAAUGAUGGCUUUGCAUUUUAGCUUAGGGAAGGACCUGCUUUGCAGAAAGGAUCUCAUUGAGAAUAGCAAAAGGAAGUUGGGAACCAUUACAGUGCCCAGCUGUAUUGGUAGAGGAGACCAACCACACCCUCCACAGCACAGCACCUGGAGAGGAACUGCUGCCAUGACCAUAGAGGACACCCUCUGGAUACAAUGCCAGACUUGAUGUGGGACUGACCAACCUAUGGACCCCAGGCACCACCACCCAGACCUGCUCAGCACCUGAAACAUUCACAGCCGUGGAGAGAGAACUGUUCACUGCUACCAUCCACACUUCUGGGCCCCUUCAGCAGCAGGGUGACAAGGAAGAGGGAAAUCGACUUGGAAAAGAGGGGACCUCUGACCCAAGAGUUCGGUCAAUGCAUAUGUUGGCAGCCAGCUGCACAUCGCACCAAAUAUGAACUUCAAAUAGAAGAAAGCCUCAUUUGGAAGAAAGCUCAUGCACAGACUGUAAAUAUUUCAGAGCAGAUUGUGUCUCUGUAGAUUAACAUCAAUUUUGCAGCAGCCAUGGCUUGUCCUAUGAGAGAUGAUUCUACCACAAGAACCCAACCACAAGGACGGCUCCUCUUUGAAGUUUUUACAGUCGAUCUCUGGAUCAGCCAGCGAAGUCCUGCUCCCAGGAUCCAGGGAGAGACCAUGGGUGCCCUCUAGGGCAUGGUACAAAGGGAGGAUUUGUUCCAGUAGAGAAUAGAAUAGGCCUUUUCUUUCACCUUUUGGUUUCCAGGUGCUGAACUACAUGUAGGAGUCUUGGUAGUAAAACCAAGCUUAAUGGUUAUUGAAAUAGAACUACCAGAGAGGUGGUAGAAGCACAUGUUUUGUACAAGUUGGUUAACUGCCAGCAGCUUUGAAUCGUGUAACUGCUUACAAAAAAUUUCACAUGGUCCAGGAAUAAGAGGAAACAAAUGUAUGAAAAACAAAUUCCCAGAUACUUACAUUUAAAAUAAAAAGCAAACUAACAAUAA
rnacentral:lncRNA from 1 species